rnacentral:tRNA from 2 species
GCGCGGUUAGCUCAGCGGUAGAGCACUGCCUUCACACGGCAGGGGUCACUGGUUCGAUCCCAGUACCGCGCACCA